rnacentral:rRNA from 1 species
AUUGAACGCUGGCGGCAUGCUUUACACAUGCAAGUCGGACGAGUGGCGAACGGGUGAGUAACGCAUCGGAACGUACCGAGUAAUGGGGGAUAACUGUCCGAAAGGACAGCUAAUACCGCAUAUUAUUCGAGCGGCCGAUGUCUGAUUAGCUGGUUGGCGGGGUAAAGGCCCACCAAGGCGACGAUCAGGAGCGGGUCUAAGAGGAUGAUCCGCCACACUGGAACUGGGACACGGCCCGGACUCCUAGGGAAGGCAGCAUUGGGGAAUUUUGGACAUGGGGCGCAAGCCUGAUCCAGCCAUGCCGCGUGUCUGAAGAAGGCCUUCGGUUUGUAAAGGACUUUUGUCAGGGAAGCGGUACCUGAAGAAUAAGCACCGGCUAACUACGUGCCAGCAGCCGCGGUAAUUC